rnacentral:tRNA from 1 species
AGCCUCGAGGUGUCAUCACGCUAGAUUGCAAAUCUGGAGAAGCAGGCUAGGAGCCUGCCGGGGCUU